UGCAAUUUACAUGAGAAUGCCACCACCAAGUCAAUCCUUGCGUACUGAUUCGCCCGACGCGCUUUCCCGUCGCCCAGCUUCUCUUCUCCCCUCGUCCCCUUUCUCCCCCAUCUGUAACCCUAGGAGGGCGCCGCCGGCCGCUGCCACCCAUCCAACGCGGCGCCGGUGCUCCGCCGCGCCCCCGCAGGUUCCCCGUCCCAUACUCACUGCAUUCGCCACCCCAUCUCCUCCUUCCCCCGCCCAUCCUCAGCGCACCCGGACGCCCGAUCCUACCUCAGCUCCCUCCGUCGCUCGUCGCCGGCACCCGGUUGACCUGCUCCGUCGAGCUUGCCGCCGGAUCCACACCAGAGAGCUCACUUCUCCUAGCUCCCUUCCCAUGCCGGCUUCCUGUUCCUGGGCUAUUUCGAGUUUGUACAGUGUCUGGAGCUGCUCCCUGCUGCCGAACGAAUCUCUGCUCCCGUCAGAAGCUGUCUGCGGCUGGCUUCGCGAGAAGCAGGCUAUUUCCAGAAGCUGGAGAGGAUCCGAACGGGCCCUUACUCUCUUGAAACCAGAUUGAUUUUCUGCAUUACAAUCUCCCUCUUUUUUUUAUUCAGGCGUGAGGACAAAGAACCAAAUGUCUUGACCUCGAAGGGGCUGCUUGGCACUACAACACUGGAGGAGUCAAUCACUAACGCCUCCUCUCUGCUGCAGCCUACACUGCAUGAGGACAGAGAACCAAAUGUCCUGGCCUCGAAGGAGCUGCUUGACACUACAACACUGGAGUCAAUCACUAACGCUUCCUCUCCGCUGCAGCCUACACCAUUGCAGCCAGAUAUGUUGUCAUCCAAGGACGCUUCCUCCACAUGGGCAGAGGAGGUGACUCACUCGCUGACGCCGCCCAUUUUGGCCCGGAAACCUGCCGGUUGGAAUCAUCAAUUUUUCAUCAGAGUAGAUCUUGGGGGAUUUUUCCACACAUAUCCUGAGCUGGGUGGGCCGUUCCGGAGCUUGGAGGAAGCUAACAAGGCUAUACUCUGCCACCUUGAAAAACUACGUGAUCGGAAAAUGUGCACAAACGAUGGGCUUUCCAGUUCGGAGAUUGCUAUAUGAGAUGCUCUUCACUGGCCAGAUGGCACGAGGAAGUAUUCUUCGAGAUCCAAUCCGGAUGAAGAUCAUAUGGGGCUAUUGAUUCAAGCUUUGUUGGACAAGUACAAUGAGGAGAAUAAUCUUUUGGGGGAUGAUGCAUAUAAUGUUGAAAAUGUCGUGAGCUUCCAAGAAGUUUAUGAGGGCAAAGGUGGCUGGUACUAUCAUCUGAAUUGUACUAGAAAGACUAAAGGUGGCGUCGACAAUCUCUUCUUUGCCGAAGUCUUGAGAAUGAAUAGAGGACUACAAUUCAAGCUCACCUGUCUCCAUAUGGUUAAACCUGCUGUUGAUAACGGUACAUGCUAUGGUUGUAAAAAAACCAAUGUUAGUAUGAAGCACCCCAUUGACGCUGGUAAAUACAAAGGUGGCCACGAUCCCUUGUGGCCACCACGGCUUUGCGUGGUUCUUCCACCGGAUUUGCCUGAGGGUUUUGAUGCUAAGAUGAAAGCUAUGGAGGAAAGGAUUAGAUAUCAAUUCCAGGACUGAUGUGUUGAUAUCGGAUGCUGGAAGAACUGUUGCUGCUGAUGGUUUGGACAAGAGCCAGCUGGGAAGAAGGGGCUUCCCAGCUGCUGAUGCUAGGAUUAACAAGGAAAGGAUUGGAUAUGUAUACGGGGACCGUGAUGUGGCAAAAUCGGAUGCUGGAAGGCCUGCUGCUGGUUUGGAGGGAAAUUGGGGCACGUACGUUAUACCGCCGAUGCGUCUGAAGGUUUGAGAAGAUGGACCUGACUGUCUAUCAGUUUGGAAUUACUGUCCGAUGGUCUAACAAAAAAGUGGUUAUGGGACAGUUAAAGUUUUAUUUUGCAUGUCUUUGAAUCACGUAGCUGGAUCAUCGUUUUCUAGCAUGUGUGGUACAUCCAAAUAUGCAAGUAAGACGAAUUGCAAGUUUUAUUUUGCAAGACUAGCCUGGCGUAAAUCCAAGUUGUUAGGUUGGCUUUUAAACAGCGACGCACAUGUACAGCUCCCAAAUUUGGUCCUUGACCAAUCUUGUAUAAGAAACCCUUAAAUAAACGGCGACGCACAUGCACCGAAUAAUCUGUACUUGCCAAUUAAUUAGAAAAUGCUUGUGUCGCUCACACUGGACGCAGCGCGGGCUGUAAAGGCAC
rnacentral:rRNA from 1 species